rnacentral:rRNA from 1 species
GACGAACGCUGGCGGCGUGCCUAAUACAUGCAAGUCGAACGAACCGCGACUAGGUGCUUGCACUUGGUCAAGGUGAGUGGCGAACGGGUGAGUAACACGUGGGUAACCUACCUCAUAGUGGGGGAUAACAGUCGGAAACGACUGCUAAUACCGCAUAGGACAUAGGAUCACAUGAUCCAGUGAGGAAAGGUGGCGCAAGCUAUCGCUAAGAGAUGGACCCGCGAUGCAUUAGCUAGUUGGUAGGGUAAAGGCCUACCAAGGCGAUGAUGCAUAGCCGACCUGAGAGGGUGAUCGGCCACAUUGGGACUGAGACACGGCCCAAACUCCUACGGGAGGCAGCAGUGGGGAAUCUUCCGCAAUGGACGCAAGUCUGACGGAGCAACGCCGCGUGAGUGAAGAAGGUCUGCGGAUCGUAAAGCUCUGUUGUUAGAGAAGAACAGCGCAUAGAGUAACUGUUAUGCGUGUGACGGUAUCUAACCAGAAAGCCACGGCUAACUAC